GGGCACCACCGAGAUUCGAAUUCAGGAUUUCCUAGGGUUUACUAGACAGGCCCUUUUAAAAAACUAAGCCACGGCGCC